CAAAUCAAGGUACAAUUUUUUUCACUUAUUGUUUCAGCUUUCAUCUUUUGAAUUGUGGGAAGGCUUCUUGUCUGCUUACUUUGCCUAGUUUGUUGGUUUGACUAUCUGUACCUACAUUUGAGAGUUUAAUUUUGAUCAAUGUUGACUGUUCUAAGCUUUAGUGGAACUUUAUAGUUUCAUUUCGGGGAAUCAAAUCCCAUUCUGGGUCUAUUGAGUUGUGUUCAAUAUUACAGGGAUCAAGCAGAGGUAGCGAAUUGGGGAAAAGAGGAGAGACUGCAAGAUUGGAUACCCAAGGCUGAAAGGUUGGUUGGGAUUUGGGUGGAGUUUGCUUAGUCUACAUACCUGUGGGAUUUUGAUUUCUUCUAUCUUUUUGCGAUUUGGCUCAAGAUCACUUGCUAGAUGGUUUGAGCUGCCUCAGCGGGGCUUCGCAGUCACUAGAGGAACUCC